CCAAAAAAAAACAAGCCCGAGGCGUUCUUUAAAAAAUUACGUUUUUACGCCUGGCGUUUUGCGUGUCGGUGUGUACACUUACAUUGGCGCCCUUUGUUUAGUCACGGCGCGUUAAAUGUCGGCGAUAUUCGCGCGCGAUAUUCGUCCCGGUGUGAACAGGCCUUAACGUUACUACCUGGCCAUGUACCCUGCCCUCUUCGUACAGGUUGUCAUGAUGUCAUUACAGAAGGCAGCUGAAGAACAACUUGGGACACCUUCUGAAAACAGAGACAGUGACUCACACACACACACACAGACACUAAAUAUAUAAUUAAUAUAAAUCAAUAUGUUCUUGUUACUGUUUCCCAUUAUUUG